AGUCGUAACAAGGUAUCCGUAGGUGAACCUGCGGAUGGAUCAUUAACACACACAUACACAAAACCUAUUUUUUCUUUUGUUGUCAUGCUCCAUGACGACAAAAGAGAAAAUAUGCCCUUCAGCGAACUGUUAAAGUCUCUUAACACAACACACAAACCUCAUUCAAAAAAAUUUAAUCUAAAAAUCAAUUAUUUUCCCUUUAACCUCUCCCCUUUGCUUGUAAAAAAGCAAGUGUAGAAGGAAAAAAAAAAAGAGAAAAUAAAAAAACAUUAACAAAAGGACACAAUUUUUGACAAUGGAUAUCUUGGCUCGCUG
rnacentral:misc_RNA from 1 species